rnacentral:rRNA from 1 species
AUUGAACGCUGGCGGCAUGCCUUACACAUGCAAGUCGAACGGCAGCACGGGUGCUUGCACCUGGUGGCGAGUGGCGAACGGGUGAGUAAUACAUCGGAACAUGUCCUGUAGUGGGGGAUAGCCCGGCGAAAGCCGGAUUAAUACCGCAUACGAUCUAUGGAUGAAAGCGGGGGACCUUCGGGCCUCGCGCUUUAGGGUUGGCCGAUGGCUGAUUAGCUAGUUGGUGGGGUAAAGGCCUACCAAGGCGACGAUCAGUAGCUGGUCUGAGAGGACGACCAGCCACACUGGGACUGAGACACGGCCCAGACUCCUACGGGAGGCAGCAGUGGGGAAUUUUGGACAAAGGGCGAAAGCCUGAUCCAGCAAUGCCGCGUGUGUGAAGAAGGCCUUCGGGUUGUAAAGCACUUUUGUCCGGAAAGAAAACCUUGGCCCUAAUACGGUCGGGGGAUGACGGUACCGGAAGAAUAAGCACCGGCUAACUACGUG